GGCGAUAUGGCCGAGCGGUCUAAGGCGCCAGAAUCAGGUGCAUUGCGGCAUUGCCACUUUUACCUUCAUCUGGUCCGAAAGGGCGUGGGUUCGAAUCCCAUUGUCGUCA
rfam:Trametes versicolor FP-101664 SS1 unplaced genomic scaffold TRAVEscaffold_11, whole genome shotgun sequence.